rnacentral:rRNA from 1 species
GUUGGAUACUGUGAGGCUAGACGGUCGGAGGGGGUAGCGGAAUUUCCGGAGUAGCGGUGAAAUGCGCAGAUACCGGAAGGAACGCCAAUAGCGAAGGCAGCUACCUGGACGACUUGUGACGCUGAGGCGCGAAAGCGUGGGGAGCAAACCGGAUUAGAUACCCGGGUAGUCCACGCCCUAAACCAUGAGUGCUGGGUGUCCGGCUUCUGCUGGGUGCCGUAGCUAACGCGCUAAGCACUCCGCCUGGGAAGUACGCACGCAAGUGUGAAACUCAAAGGAAUUGACGGGGGCCCGCACAAGCGGUGGAGCAUGUGGUUUAAUUCGAAGCGACGCGAAGAACCUUACCAGGCCUUGACAUGCCCGGAACCCCUCUGAAAGGAGGGGGUGCCCGCAAGGGAGCCGGGACACAGGUGCUGCAUGGCCGUCGUCAGCUCGUGUCGUGAGAUGUUGGGUUAAGUCCCGCAACGAGCGCAACCCCUAUCCCUAGUUGCCAGCAGUUCGGCUGGGCACUCUAUGGAGACUGCCUGCGAAAGCAGGAGGAAGGCGGGGAUGACGUCUGGUCCGCAUGGCCCUUACGGCCUGGGCGACACACGUGCUACAAUGCCAAGGACAGAGCGCUGCUACCUCGCGAGAGGACGCCAAUCGCAAAAACCUUGGCUCAGUUCGGAUUGGAGUCU